UGGGGAAUUUUGGACAAUGGGCGAAAGCCUGAUCCAGCAAUGCCGCGUGUGUGAAGAAGGCCUUCGGGUUGUAAAGCACUUUUGUCCGGAAAGAAAUCCUUGGCUCUAAUACAGUCGGGGGAUGACGGUACCGGAGGAAUAAGCACCGGCUAACUACGUGCCAGCAGCCGCGGUAAUACGUAGGGUGCAAGCGUUAAUCGGAAUUACUGGGCGUAAAGCGUGCGCAGGCGGUUUGCUAAGACCGAUGUGAAAUCCCCGGGCUCAACCUGGGAACUGCAUUGGUGACUGGCAGGCUAGAGUAUGGCAGAGGGGGGUAGAAUUCCACGUGUAGCAGUGAAAUGCGUAGAGAUGUGGAGGAAUACCGAUGGCGAAGGCAGCCCCCUGGGCCAAUACUGACGCUCAUGCACGAAAGCGUGGGGAGCAAACAGGAUUAGAUACCCUGGUAGUCCACGCCCUAAAACGAUGUCAACUAGUUGUUGGGGAUUCAUUUCCUUAGUAACGUAGCUAACGCGUGAAGUUGACCGCCUGGGGAGUACGGUCGCAAGAUUAAAACUCAAAUGAAUUGACGGGGUCAUAGCUGUUUCCU
rnacentral:rRNA from 1 species